rnacentral:rRNA from 1 species
UACAGAGGUCUCAAGCGUUGUUCGGAUUCAUUGGGCGUAAAGGGUGCGUAGGCGGCGCGGUAAGUCGGGUGUGAAAUCUCGGGGCUUAACUCCGAAACUGCAUUCGAUACUGCCGUGCUUGAGGACUGGAGAGGAGACUGGAAUUUACGGUGUAGCGGUGAAAUGCGUAGAUAUCGUAAGGAAGACCAGUGGCGACGGCGGGUCUCUGGACAGUUCCUGACGCUGAGGCACGAAGGCCAGGGGAGCAAACGGG